rnacentral:rRNA from 1 species
AAGUCAGAUGUGAAAGACCCGGGGCGUUAACCUCCGGAAUUGCAUUUGUAAACUAGGCAGGCUAGAGUCUUGUUAGAGGGGGGUAGGGAAGUUUCUAGGUGUAGCGGUGAAAUAGCGUAGAGAUCUGAAGGAAUACCAGUGGCGAAGGCGGCCCCCCUCGGACAAAGACUGACGCUCAGAUGCGAAAAGCGUGGGGAGCAAACAGGAUUAGAUACCCUGGUAG